UACGUAGGGGGCAAGCGUUGUCCGGAAUCAUUGGGCGUAAAGAGCGUGUAGGCGGCCCGGUAAGUCCGCUGUGAAAGUCCAGGGCUCAACCCUGGGAUGCCGGUGGAUACUGUCGGGCUCGAGUCCGGAAGAGGAGUGUGGAAUUCCUGGUGUAGCGGUGAAAUGCGCAGAUAUCAGGAGGAAUACCGGUGGCGAAGGCGGGACUCUGGGCCGAUACUGACGCUGAGGAGCGAAAGCGUGGGGAGCGAACAGG
rnacentral:rRNA from 1 species